rnacentral:tRNA from 1 species
GCCCCCGUAGCUCAGUGGAUAGAGCAGAAGCCUUCUAAUCUUUUUGUCGCGAGUUCGACUCUCGCCGGGGGCA